GAUGAACGCUGGCGGCGUGCCUAAUACAUGCAAGUCGAGCGAACAGACGAGAAGCUUGCUCUUCUGACGUUAGCGGCGGACGGGUGAGUAACACGUGGAUAACCUACCUAUAAGACUGGGAUAACUUCGGGAAACCGGAGCUAAUACCGGAUAAUAUUUUGAACCGCAUGGUUCAAAAGUGAAAGACGGUUUUGCUGUCACUUAUAGAUGGAUCCGCGCAGCAUUAGCUAGUUGGUAAGGUAACGGCUUACCAAGGCAACGAUGCAUAGCCGACCUAACAGGGGGAUCGGCAACACCGAAACUGAGACACGGUCCAGACUCGUUCAGGGAGCAACAGAAGGGAAUCUUACGCAGUAGGCGAAAACCAGACGGAGUAACGCCGCAUGAAUGAAAAUGGUCUUCGGAUCGUGAAGCUCUAUUAUUAGGGAAGAACAGAUGUGAAGAUAACGGUGCACAACUUGACGGUACCUAAUCAGAAGACCACAACUAUGUACGAG
rnacentral:rRNA from 1 species